AAUGACUCUCGGCAACGGAUAUCUCGGCUCUUGCAUCGAUGAAGAACGUAGCGAAAUGCGAUACUUGGUGUGAAUUGCAGAAUCCCGUGAACCAUCGAGUCUUUGAACGCAAGUUGCGCCCGAAGCCAUUAGGUUGAGGGCACGCCUGCCUGGGUGUCACGU
rnacentral:rRNA from 1 species